UACGUAGGUGGCAAGCGUUAUCCGGAAUUAUUGGGCGUAAAGCGCGCGCAGGUGGUUUCUUAAGUCUGAUGUGAAAGCCCACGGCUCAACCGUGGAGGGUCAUUGGAAACUGGGAGACUUGAGUGCAGAAGAGGAAAGUGGAAUUCCAUGUGUAGCGGUGAAAUGCGUAGAGAUAUGGAGGAACACCAGUGGCGAAGGCGACUUUCUGGUCUGUAACUGACACUGAGGCGCGAAAGCGUGGGAAGCAAACAGG
rnacentral:rRNA from 1 species